AAAAGUACAUAGCGAGCAGUUGUCGUUACAUACAAACGGUCACCUAAAUUGUCCCAGUCAAUGGAUGAAUUUAAUGUGUCAAUCAAUGGCCACAGCCACACUGUUUUUAAUUUCAUUCUACAACCCAGUAACAUAAGAUAUAGAUAUGAAACAAUGAGGAGACAACUCUGCUUUAGUCUUCCUAAGUAAAACAGAUAAGGUGAACAAUCAAACCAUUCAAAAACAAGAUAUCUCAGCCAGUCAAUUCAUGUCAAAAUUUCAUUUUAAUCCCCUUUUUCUUGUGUACUUGUAUUAUAUAUGAAUUUUGGCUAGAACUGACAAGACAUGUUCAAUACAAAACUGUAAAUAAAACAGCUUUUAAACUGUCACAUUCAAUAACAUAGUCUCUUAGAAUAACCAAAGUUACUUGAAUGAAGUUUCAAAUCAAAUAUUUUCUCUUGAUUAUUAGAUUUGUUUUCACGUUUAAAUUCCUACAAAAAGUUAAAUAAAAUAUUUUGUAAUUGUAAAAAAAGUGACCCCUUCACUGGUCACAAUGAAUCAAGGAAGUUAUUUAAGAAAUCAUAUCAAAAUCAACAAAAAAGAUUUGCCAUAUUGAAAUGUCUCCUCAGCGUUACUGAUUGUGAUUGAAUGGUAUUUGGAACUUUGUGAUUGAGGGGUUUAUACAGGUAUUACAAAAACAUUGAUGAACCAUGAAAAUGAGGAAAAGGUCAAGUAAACCAUUAAAAUCUUCAAAGUUAUCUACAAAUCAACACCACAAGAUUGGCAUCACUAUUUCUAAAAUUCUGCUACAUGUUUACAGGUUUUAAUUAUUGAAUUCUGCUUCUUAAAUACAGUGACUUUAUUUAUGUUUUAAAUAUCUACUGUAUAAGUUAAUCAUCCAGUCUAACUGCAUAAUCUUGAAAUUAUAUUUUUACAAAUACAUGUACCUAAAACAUUUUAAUAUAUAUUUUUUUCUUAGAAAAAAAUCAUAAUCCUAUCAGAAUGAAAACAAAAUAAAUUUUCAUUUGAAAUAUCUGAUAUACUAUACAAGUAUUUCUAUCAACUCUUUUUAAUUUCUAACUACACAAGAAAUAGACAUGUUAUGCAACAACUUGUAAGAUACUGUGUUUGUGUAUACUGUUUAGUCUAUAAUGCAAUCUUUGAACGUUGUACGUUCUCCCUGAGUAACUCUCCUAUUGGAGAGGUGAGAAUGGUGUUGGUAUCAGGAUUCUAGACUGCAUAUGUCUUAUCAAUGGCACUGAAAAACAGA
rnacentral:lncRNA from 1 species